GGAGUUAGCCGGUGCUUCUUCUGUGAGUGAUGUCCUUCCUGCCGGCUAUUAACCCGCAGGCCUUCUUCCUCACUGAAAGUGCUUUACAACCCGAAGGCCUUCUUCACACACGCGGCAUGGCUGGAUCAGGGUUGCCCCCAUUGUCCAAUAUUCCCCACUGCUGCCUCCCGUAGGAGUCUGGGCCGUGUCUCAGUCCCAGUGUGGCUGAUCAUCCUCUCAGACCAGCUACGGAUCGUCGCCUUGGUGAGCCGUUACCUCACCAACCAGCUAAUCCGACAUAGGCUCAUCCGAUAGCGCGAGGCCCGAAGGUCCCCCGNUUUCCCCCGUAGGGCGUAUGCGGUAUUAGCCUGGGUUUCCCCCAGGUUAUCCCCCACUACCGGGCAGAUUCCUAUGCAUUACUCACCCGUCCGCCGCUCGCCACCAGGGAGCAAGCUCCCCGUGCUGCCGCUCGACUUGCAUGUGUAGCNCGCCGCCACGCGUCAUCUGAGCCAUGAUACAACUACUGA
rnacentral:rRNA from 1 species